CCUACGGGUGGCAGCAGUGAGGAAUAUUGGUCAAUGGGCGGAAGCCUGAACCAGCCAAGUCGCGUGAGGGACUAAGGCCCUACGGGUCGUAAACCUCUUUUGCCGGGGAUCAGUGCCCAGCUCGCGAGCUGGGAGGGAGCGUACCCGGAGAAAAAGCAUCGGCUAACUCCGUGCCAGCAGCCGCGGUAAUACGGAGGAUGCGAGCGUUAUCCGGAUUUAUUGGGUUUAAAGGGUGCGUAGGUGGUUAAUUAAGUCAGCGGUGAAAGUUUGUGGCUCAACCAUAAAAUUGCCGUUGAAACUGGUUGACUUGAGUAUAUUUGAGGUAGGCGGAAUGCGUGGUGUAGCGGUGAAAUGCAUAGAUAUCACGCAGAACUCCGAUUGCGAAGGCAGCUUACUAAACUAUAACUGACACUGAAGCACGAAAGCGUGGGGAUCAAACAGGAUUAGAUACCCGGGUAGUC
rnacentral:rRNA from 1 species